AAAGGCAAAGAAUGUUUCCCCCUGCCAAUCUCAUUCCUCUGCUCCUUUUCCAAGGCAGUGAGUCUUUUCCUCUCCCAAGCAAUGAGUUUGAAGAAGUCGAUUCUGCUAAUCUCAUUCCUUUGCUCUUUGAAGGUCAUCGCUUUGUUUUCUCUUACGGUUUCUGUUCGGCGUCGACUAAUGAAGCUUCAAAGGAUAUGUACUAAAUAGGCUCUAUGAAGACGUCUUGCUACUGUUUCAUAGUUCUCAAUUAAUGGGCUUGGAGCUAGAUCAGUUUAUGGUUUCAUCUACUAUUAGUGCUUAUGCAGGUCUGUCAACUUUAAUCGAAGGGAACUUUGAUCUCAAAGAUCUAUAUGAGGCUGUAAUAGUAGGGCCCUCGGAAUCUAAUGAUAAAGCAAAUUUUGUGUAUUCAUGUUCUGGUGGCUCUUUGGAUUUUAGGGUUGAUGAUUUUGUUCA